rnacentral:miRNA from 1 species
UCCUCGGGCAAAGCGCUUGACA